rnacentral:misc_RNA from 1 species
AAGUCGUAACAAGGUUUCCGUAGGUGAACCUGCGGAAGGAUCAUUAGUGGAAAGACUUGUCUUACCAUUUUCAACUUAACCCGUGAACCAUUUAACUUGGUAGUUCCAGAGCUGAGUUCUUGCAUAGUCCGUGGACUAUGUUAGAGGGUAUCUUUGGCCGACUUGUAGUUUGUAGUUUCUGUGACUCUUUAGGUGAUACUAUUAGUCUACGUUAUUGCUUCUGCUUUUUGGAAUCCUGACAUCAUUUCUUUCAGGUUUGGCUACUGUAUGCUUAUAGACACCGUGAGUGAUGCUUUUGUAGUUAUUUUUUAUUGCCUAAGUCAAACACAUUAGUAAUAAUGUAAAGACAACCUUUGACAAUGGAUCUCUUGGCUCCU